rnacentral:sRNA from 1 species
CUUUUUCGAUGAGCUCGAGAUCACGGAUCUGGUUGACAAGAUCUUCGACCGGUUUUGAGUGCUCCGACUUGAGAAAUAACGUUAAUUUGAAAGUCAGGCAAACAAAAGUCAUAUUUGAAGCUGAAGAACGGCAAAAAAAAUUGGACGAGGAAUAGUCAUUACCUGGUCGUAUUUGAUUGCCACAACUGAAUCACGGAGAUUCUGAAGGAGAGUACCGAACUCCCCGCCCUUAACCAGCUCUAAUGCUGCUAUUCCAAAUGCGCGCUUUGCCAAUUCAAGGACUACAGUAUAUUUUAAAUCAUUACUGACACUGCUAGCUUCAUCAACCAGAACUUUAAAUUGGCGCAGUUUAUUUUGAAAAUCCGUCCCUGUAGGGUCAGCAAUGAAUUCAUUACUGAUGACGAAUUUUUUGACAACUUUCAAUGCGUCAGUUCUGGGGGUUUGUGUUUUGAGAGCAUCCAGAAGUUCCUUUUGGAAAGUGGAAUUUUGCAACAAUGGAAUGCUCGGUUUGCAAGCAUCCUGUGAUACAUGAGCUGCGGAGUGGGGAAGGAAAUUGAACAGCGGUUCAGCCAUGGUUGCAGAGGAUUUCUCCUGAAGAUCAAAAUGGCCUGUCGAAACGGAAGCUAAGG